rnacentral:rRNA from 1 species
UACAGAGGUCUCAAGCGUUGUUCGGAUUCAUUGGGCGUAAAGGGUGCGUAGGCGGCGCGGUAAGUCGGGUGUGAAAUCUCGGAGCUUAACUCCGAAACUGCAUUCGAUACUGCCGUGCUUGAGGACUGGAGAGGAGACUGGAAUUUACGGUGUAGCGGUGAAAUGCGUAGAUAUUCGCAAGAACACCAGUGGCGAAGGCGGCUCACUGGCUCGGUACUGACGCUGAGGUGCGAAAGCGUGGGGAGCAAACAGG